rnacentral:rRNA from 1 species
AGAGUUUGAUCCUGGCUCAGGAUGAACGCUGGCGGCGUGCCUAACACAUGCAAGUCGAACGAAGCUUGACGGAUGAUUUCUUCGGAAUGAAACCUGAUAUGACUUAGUGGCGGACGGGUGAGUAACACGUGAGCAACCUGCCUUUCAGAGGGGGAUAACGGCUGGAAACGGUCGCUAAUACCGCAUGAAGUGUUCGGAUGGCAUCAUCUGAACAUCAAAGAUUUAUCGCUGAAAGAUGGGCUCGCGUCUGAUUAGAUAGUUGGUGGGGUAACGGCCUACCAAGUCUACGAUCAGUAGCCGGACUGAGAGGUUGAACGGCCACAUUGGGACUGAGAUACGGCCCAGACUCCUACGGGAGGCAGCAGUGGGGAAUAUUGCACAAUGGGGGAAACCCUGAUGCAGCAACGCCGCGUGAAGGAUGACGGUUUUCGGAUUGUAAACUUCUUUUCUUAGUGACGAAGACAGUGACGGUAGCUAAGGAAUAAGCAUCGGCUAACUACGUGCCAGCAGCCGCGGUAAUACGUAGGAUGCAAGCGUUAUCCGGAUUUACUGGGUGUAAAGGGAGCGCAGGCGGGACUGCAAGUUGGAUGUGAAAUACCGUGGCUUAACCACGGAACUGCAUCCAAAACUGUAGUUCUUGAGUGAAGUAGAGGCAAGCGGAAUUCCGAGUGUAGCGGUGAAAUGCGUAGAUAUUCGGAGGAACACCAGUGGCGAAGGCGGCUUGCUGGGCUUUAACUGACGCUGAGGCUCGAAAGUGUGGGGAGCAAACAGGAUUAGAUACCCUGGUAGUCCACACUGUAAACGAUGAUAGCUAGGUGUGGGGGGUCUGACCCCUUCCGUGCCGGAGUUAACGCAAUAAGCUAUCCACCUGGGGAGUACGACCGCAAGGUUGAAACUCAAAGGAAUUGACGGGGGCCCGCACAAGCAGUGGAGUAU